CGCACAAGCGGUGGAGCAUGUGGUUUAAUUCGAUGCAACGCGAAGAACCUUACCUGGUCUUGACAUAGUAAGAACUUUCCAGAGAUGGAUUGGUGCCUUCGGGAACUUACAUACAGGUGCUGCAUGGCUGUUGUCAGCUCGUGUCGUGAGAUGUUGGGUUAAGUCCCGCAACGAGCGCAACCCUUUUCCUUAUUUGCCAGCACUUUGGGUGGGAACUUUAAGGAUACUGCCAGUGACAAACUGGAGGAAGGCGGGGACGACGUCAAGUCAUCAUGGCCCUUACGACCAGGGCUACACACGUGCUACAAUGGUCGGUACAAAGGGUUGCUACCUAGCGAUAGGAUGCUAAUCUCAAAAAGCCGAUCGUAGUCCGGAUUGGAGUCUGCAACUCGACUCCAUGAAGUCGGAAUCGCUAGUAAUCGCGGAUCAGAAUGCCGCGGUGAAUACGUUCCCGGGCCUUGUACACACCGCCCGUCACACCAUGGGAGUUUGUUGCACCAGAAGUGGAUAGUCUAACUGCAAAGAGGACGUUCACCA
rnacentral:rRNA from 1 species